rnacentral:rRNA from 1 species
UAAAAGCCUACCAAGCCUAAGAUCCUUAGCUGUUCUGAGAGGUUGAACAGCCACACUGGGACUGAGACAAUGCCCAUGCUCCAUUUGGAGCCAGCAGUGAGGAAUUUUGGACAAUGAGCGAAAGCUUGAUCCAGCAAUACUACAUGAGUGAAGAAGGCUUUCAAGUUGUAACACUCUUUGGUUGAGGAGGAUAAUGACAGUACUCAACAAAAUAGCCCCGGCUAACUUCGUGCCAGCAGCCGCGGUAAGACGAAGGGGGCGAGCGUUAUCCGGAAUGACUGGGCGUAAAGGGUCCGUAGGCAGCAUUUUUUGUUGGAAGUUAAAUAAAAAAGCUUAACUUUUUUCCGCUUCUAAAACGUAAAUGCUUUGAGUUUGAUAGAAGAUAGCAGAAUUUCACAAGGAGGGGUGAUAUCCAGAGAUCUGUGAAGGAAUAUCAGAUGCGAAGGCGGCUAUCUAGAUCAACACUGACGUUGAGGGACGAAAGCAUGGGGAGCAAACAGGAUUAGAUACCCUGGUAGUCCAUGCCCUAAAAGAUGAGUGUUCGUGCUUAGAGAACUUUAGGCACUUAGUUAACACGUUAAACACUCCGCCUGGGGAGUACGAUCGCAAGGUUGGAACUCAAAGGAAUUGACGGGGGCCUAUACAAGUGGUGGAGCAUGUGGUUUAAUGCGAUAAUACGCGCGAAACCUUACCAGUUCUUGACAUAAAAAAGAAAAAGUUUGAAAAAGCAAUUUUAAAGAUUUUUACAGGUGCUGCAUGGCUGUCGUAAGCUCGUGUCGUGAGAUGUUAGGUUAACUCCUUUUAACGGGCGAAACCCCUUUUUUCGUUGCUACUUAAUUUUAUUUUUAAAGCACUCUAAAAAAACUGCUCCCUUUUUUUAAUUCGGAGAGGAAGGUGGGGAUGACGUCAAGUCCUUAUGGCCCUUAUGAACUGGGCUACACACGUGCUACAAUGGUAAAGACAAUAAGAAGUGAUAGGGUAACCUAAAACCAAUCUUUAAACUUUAUCAAAGUUCGGAUUGUGGACUGCAACUCGUCCAUAUGAAGGUGGAAUCACUAGUAAUCGCACAUCAGCAUGUUGCGGUGAAUUUGUACCUAGGCCUUGUACACACCGCCCGUCACGUGCCGGGAGUUGGC